rnacentral:rRNA from 1 species
UGGCGGACGGGUGAGUAACGCGUGGGUAACCUGCCUCACACAGGGGGAUAACAGUUGGAAACGGCUGCUAAUACCGCAUAAGCGCACAGUACCGCGUGGUACAGUGUGAAAAACUCCGGUGGUGUGAGAUGGACCCGCGUCUGAUUAGCUAGUUGGCAGGGCAACGGCCUACCAAGGCGACGAUCAGUAGCCGACCUGAGAGGGUGACCGGCCACAUUGGGACUGAGACACGGCCCAAACUCCUACGGGAGGCAGCAGUGGGGAAUAUUGCACAAUGGGGGAAACCCUGAUGCAGCGACGCCGCGUGAGCGAAGAAGUAUUUCGGUAUGUAAAGCUCUAUCAGCAGGGAAGAAGAAAUGACGGUACCUGACUAAGAAGCACCGGCUAAAUACGUGCCAGCAGCCGCGGUAAUACGUAUGGUGCAAGCGUUAUCCGGAUUUACUGGGUGUAAAGGGAGCGCAGGCGGAAGGCUAAGUCUGAUGUGAAAGCCCGGGGCUCAACCCCGGUACUGCAUUGGAAACUGGUCAUCUAGAGUGUC